UACGUAGGGGGCAAGCGUUAUCCGGAUUUACUGGGUGUAAAGGGAGCGUAGACGGUUAAGCAAGUCUGAUGUGAAAACCCGGGGCUCAACUCCGGGAUUGCAUUGGAAACUGUUAAACUUGAGUGCAGGAGAGGUAAGUGGAAUUCCUAGUGUAGCGGUGAAAUGCGUAGAUAUUAGGAGGAACACCGGCGGCGAAGGCGGCUUACUGGACUGUAACUGACGUUGAGGCUCGAAAGCGUGGGGAGCAAAC
rnacentral:rRNA from 1 species